UGGCCCCCAUAGAGCCCUGAUCUCAACAUCAUCGAGUCUGUCUGGGAUUACAUGAAGAGACAGAAGGAUAUGAGCAAGCCUACCUCCACAGAAGAUCUAUGGUUAGUUCUUCAGGAGGUUUG